AAUAGAUACCCAGGUAGUCCACGCCGUAAACGAUGAGUGCUAAGUGUUAGAGGGUUUCCGCCCUUUAGUGCUGCAGCUAACGCAUUAAGCACUCCGCCUGGGGAGUACGGCCGCAAGGCUGAAAACUCAAAGGAAUUGACGGGGGCCCGCACAAGCGGUGGAGCAUGUGGUUUAAUUCGAAGCAACGCGAAGAACCUUACCAGGUCUUGACAUCCUCUGCCAACCCUAGAGAUAGGGCGUUCCCCUUCGGGGGACAGAGUGACAGGUGGUGCAUGGUUGUCGUCAGCUCGUGUCGUGAGAUGUUGGGUUAAGUCCCGCAACGAGCGCAACCCUUGAUCUUAGUUGCCAGCAUUCAGUUGGGCACUCUAAGGUGACUGCCGGUGACAAACCGGAGGAAGGUGGGGAUGACGUCAAAUCAUCAUGCCCCUUAUGACCUGGGCUACACACGUGCUACAAUGGAUGGUACAAAGAGCUGCGAACCCGCGAGGGUAANCGAAUCUCAUAAAGCCAUUCUCAGUUCGGAUUGU
rnacentral:rRNA from 1 species